UCCCUGAUAGCUCAGUCGGUAAAGAAUCUGCCUGUAAUACAGGAGACCCAGGUUCGAUCCCUGGGUUGGGAA
rnacentral:tRNA from 1 species